rnacentral:rRNA from 1 species
AUUGAACGCUGGCGGCAUGCUUUACACAUGCAAGUCGAACGGUAACAGGGAGCUUGCUCCGCUGACGAGUGGCGAACGGGUGAGUAAUGCGUCGGAACGUGCCGAGUAGUGGGGGAUAACGCAUCGAAAGGUGUGCUAAUACCGCAUACGAACUGAGGUUGAAAGUGGGGGACCUUCGGGCCUCACGCUAUUCGAGCGGCCGACGUCUGAUUAGCUAGUUGGUGAGGUAAAGGCUCACCAAGGCGACGAUCAGUAGCGGGUCUGAGAGGAUGAUCCGCCACACUGGGACUGAGACACGGCCCAGACGCCUACGGGAGGCAGCAGUGGGGAAUUUUGGACAAUGGGCGCAAGCCGGAUCCAGCCAUGCCGCGUGUCUGAAGAAGGCCUUCGGGUUGUAAAGGACUUUUGUCCGGGAGCAAAUGCUGGUGGCUAACAUCCACCGGAGCUGAGAGUACCGGAAGAAUAAGCACCGGCUAACUACGUGCCAGCAGCCGCAGUAACAC